UACAGAGGUGGGCAAGCGUUGUUCGGAAUUACUGGGCGUAAAGGGGUGCGUAGGCGGUCCUAUAAGUCAGUGCUGAAAUACCUCCGGCUUAACCGGGAGGGUGGCAUUGAUACUGUAGGACUUGAGUAAAGUUGAGGUUGGCGGAAUUGACGGUGUAGCGGUGAAAUGCUUAGAUAUCGUCAAGAACACCUAUUGCGAAGGCAGCUAACUUAAGCUUAACUGACGCUGAGGCACGAAAGUGUGGGGGAUCAAA
rnacentral:rRNA from 1 species